GGACCUGGCCCCCGGGCCUUGGCUUUAGCACAUAGAAACACAAAGAAUACUUUCUGCUAAAAGUACUAAAUCACUUCAUGCGUCUUCUAUGGUUCACGUUCAGUCUAAACAGAAUGCAAAGUAGCCAUAAACCUGAACAACACAAAAAAAUAUCCUUGAGAAAUCUAAGACUGAAUAACUGGUAAUAGCUAAAGUGCCCUCUAGAAAACACACAUGAUUUCUUGAGGGAUGCAUAGAAUCACUAUGGACAUAAUGGAAAUCGUCAAAUACACACAUCUGUACAUAAAAAAACAUCACUUCUACAUUAACCCAUUCUUAAUGGACUGACAUCUUAAAACUACUACGCCUGUUUCCAUCUAUAUCUGAUUCUCUAUGGAAUCACUCAACUAAAUACAGUAGAAGACAUUACAACCAACACAACUGAUACUGUUUGCCAAGAUAUAAAUCCAAUUAUUAUGAUCACCAAUAAAUAACUUUACUAUCUUUAACUACAAAUUCGGACCAUCACUGGCCAGUUAUUAAAAACAUCCUCUGAUCCUCCUACGAAACGCAUAUCUCCACAUCUGUAAGAACACCGGUACUCAUUCAUUUAAUCAUUCAGGGAACAUAAAGACAUUUAUACUCUAUUUUCUUCCAUAAAUACACAGCUAUGUAUUUGUCCAUGUAUGUGUCGAAUCGUCUUUGGGCAAGACACUGAACCCCACAUUGCCUCUAAUGUUUGGUAGUGUGUGAAUGUGUUUGGAUGAAUGGGACUGUGGCUGUAAACUGCUGUCCUAGGAGGUAGUAAAGCACUACACAAGUAUAUACCAUUUAUUUAGCUCUAUAACUCAUAAAAACAUGUAAACAAAGGCAAAUACACGCAAACCAGAAAAAGAUGAGUCUCACUACUUAAACUAAUAACCCUGGAAUUACUUUAACUUUAAAGACAAACGCACAUCGUAGAUAGGUCAAAGUAUAACUAUUCCGUUACUGUAUACAUCAUUUAUGUUACUCUGUACAUUUCAUAAGGAACAGGUUAAAAAAACAUUUAAAAUCUGAUAUUAUUCUUUGCAUCAAAAUGCAUCUCAUAAGGAUUUUGUAGUAAAAAAUAUAUUUCUCCAGUUUGGACCUUAGGCUCCUCUCAUCAGUGCAGCUUGUUCAUGUGUGAAAUGAAAGACCUUGACUGCUAAAUGCUAAUCUUUGCUAACAGCCCUGACAGGAUUCAUUACCACCAAAGCCCCUUCAAGAGUCCAAAGAUAUGUGCAUUACCAUCAUGGCUUCCCCUCUAAAGUCUUCUCAGCUUUACUUUGUUACUAUGGAUACAGAUUAACGGAGAACAACAAGCAACCUUGUCAGCAUGCUUUGAGAAGGACUCCAUCCUCAACUGCAAGACCGAGUGCGUCCAGCAGAUGGCAGCAUUUCAUUUAGAAUAUGAAUUAAAGACUGGCGGUUUUAACCGGAGGACAGAAGGAAUUGGUCAGGUUGGUGGAAAGGCUUUGCUGCUGCUGCUGCUGGUGGUGGUGGACAUCCACGCGGGGAAAACUGCAAGAGCUCCUCCUUUUCACACCUUCCAUAUGGCAACCCGUCAGCUCGGAUGACAACAUCUGGCGGCUGUCUGAGUCCACGCGGGCCCAGGUGAUUAGCCGGAUGUCAUCAGAUGAUUGGAGGAAUCAAGAGAAAGAUGGCUGUGGGGAAGAGAAGUGCUUUUACAACAACGUCCAGCUGUUGAAAAUCCAACAAAAGAUCUCAAAUGAGCUGUCAAGUUACCUUUCUCCCAAAAAAAUGAUUAUUUUAGAGUUUCGUCCCCGUCGUUCUCGCUAAACUUGAGUUUUCACCAUCCAGGUAGGAAUUAUCUCUGAAUGGCGUGCGGCGUCCUCUCUAAUUAAAAUUGAUUCAGCACUAAUUAGCACAUGCAGGCGAGGCCCACGGUUUACAUCAUGUAGAACACGACAGCCGCGCUCGUCUCUAUAUACAGGACCGGGCCGUGGGAGUCGUAAAAACCCAGGUGGCAUUAAAAGGAUCCAAACCCAUGUGUAAAAAAAAAAAAAUACUGUUUGCUGGUUUCACAGGCAAUGUGAAAGAUGAAGAAAAAUAGCAGCUAUAAAGACUCAUUUCUGUGAUUGAGUUCUGUUGCGUUGUACAAUUAUGUGUUUAAAUUGUAGCUCCUUGAAAGAUCUCUAAUUUAAAGGCAUAAAAAGCUAAUUUUGUCUAUCUGACACUUAAU